rnacentral:rRNA from 1 species
UACGUAGGCAGCGAGCGUUGUUCGGAAUUACUGGGCGUAAAGAGUGUAUAGGCGGUGCUCUAAGUUCGGUGUGAAAUCUCCCGGCUUAACUGGGAGGGUGCGCCGAAUACUGAGAGGCUAGAGUGUGGGAGAGGAAAGUGGAAUUCCCAGUGUAGAGGUGAAAUGCGUAGAGAUCAGGAGGAACACCGGUGGCGAAGGCGGCCUACUGGGCUGUCACUGACGCUGAGGCGCGAAGCUCGGGGAGCGAACGGGA